CCAAAAAUACAGCAAAGUGUGGCUGGUUUAACUUGGAAGGACCAGCCUAAACUCAGAUUCCUAAGCCUUUCAGUCCUCCUGAGCGAACAAGGCACCUGGUCCCUUCCUUCCCUGCUCUAGCAGGGUGAGCACUGCUGAGUAAACCCAUCUCAUCAGAAAGAAGAGGAGGAGGAGGAAACCCUUUUGGGAAUGAUAAAACAACGAGCAAAGCAAGAGCUGCCAGGGAGGCUGAGCCAUGGGCAGCCUUAAGUUGUUUUCCUGGAAAACAGAAAGAAAC
rnacentral:lncRNA from 1 species